AAGCCUAAUGAGUUAAAGAGAUUUCAUUUACAAUUUAAAUCUUGUCAACAUUUGCUAAAAUCUUAGACAGCUUUAAAGCACAUGCCUAAAUAUAAUUAGGGAUGUUAAACACCUGAUAUAGACAAAAUUGAAGUUUCUUUACAGGGCAGGCAA